rnacentral:rRNA from 1 species
GUUAGGAAUAUUGGACAAUGGGCGAAAGCCUGAUCCAGCCAUGCCGCGUGAACGAUGAAGGCCUUCGGGUUGUAAAGUUCUUUAGCCGAUGAUUAUAAUGACUGUAGUCGGAAAAUAAGCCCCGGCUAACUUCGUGCCAGCAGCCGCGGUAAUACGAAGGGGGCGAGCGUUAUUCGGAAUCACUGGGCGUAAAGCGUGCGUAGGCGGAUUUGUAAGUUAGGAGUGAAAGCCCAGGGCUCAACCUUGGAAUUGCAUUUGAUACUGGCUGUCUUGAGUUUGGGAGAGGUGAGUGGAACUCCGAGUGUAGAGGUGAAAUUCGUAGAUAUUCGGAAGAACACCAGUGGCGAAGGCGACUCACUGGCCCAAUACUGACGCUGAGGCGCGAAAGCGAGGGGAGCAAAAGGGAUUAGAAACCCCAGUAGUCC